AAACCCCAUCUUUUCUCCUCGGCACCAUGUUUUACCUCCAUUAUCUCCUUCCCUAUUGCUCCUUUUCUGAUUCCAAAUUCAGGUCUCAUUUUUGGAUUGUCUUAGUGAUACUUAAAUGACCUUUCUGCCUUCAGUCUCUAUUCCUGUCAGUCUUGAGAUGGGGUCAUAUUAAUGUCUCUAAAAGAGUUUUUAUUAUAUCGUUCUCUGUCCUGGCUUCAACUUACCUACAAACUGAGUUUUAUGUGUGUAUACUCAUAUUCAAUAUCCUCCACAAUUUAGCUCAGAGACUGCAGACUGGUGGUGUGCACCUUCUUCUGCAGAUUUGUGAAACAGCUUUCUGAGCUUGGACCUAGUUUGCCAGGACAUGACUAAACCAAGAAGUUGGAAUCGUGGGUAAAUAUGGGACCCACUGUGGUGCUUCCCUCCAGAAAAUCAUGAAGAUUGAAAUCAGCCAGCAUGCCAAGUACAUUUGCUCUUUCUGUGGCAAAACCAAGACGAAGAGACGAGCUAUGGGGAUAUGGUGCUGCGGUUCCUUCGUGAAGACAGUAGCAGUGCCUUCACGCAGGAGACUCAUUGUCUGGACCUACAAUACCACUUCUGUAGUCAUGGUAAAGUCCACCAUCCGAAGACUGAAGCCACUGAAAGACCCGCAGACGCUCCUGUACUCUUUGAGACAUCGCUGGCCUAUAAUAAACGAGUUAAUUUAUGUAACCAAAAAAAUUAAAAGAUAUGUGGAACAACUGAGAAAUUGUGCCAAUAACUCUACCUGCCUCCCUGCCCCUUUUUUGCAACGGAGUUUCGCUCUUGUCGCCCAGGCUGGAGUGCAGUGGCGCAAUCAUGGCUCACUGCAACCUCCACCUCCUCCUGGUUCUAGUGAUUCUCCAGCCUCAGCCUCCCGAGAAGCUGAGAUUACAGGCAUGCGCCACCACACCUGGCUAAUUUUGUAUUAUUAGUAGAGACUGGGUUUCUCCAUGUUGGUCAGGUGAUCUGCCUGUGUCCGCCGGACUUCAGGUGAUCUGCCCUGCCCAGCCUCCCAGAGUGCUGGGAUUACAGGUGUGAGCCACUGUGCCCAGCCUCAGAUGUUCUUUUAAUUUUGAAUGUAUUAAGCUUUCAUUUGCAGGAAACUUGUUUUUUCUUUUUAGAACAAGAGGUAAAGUCAGUGUUUAAUGAUAGACUUAACAUUUUCUCAGUAUUUCCACUAUAAUUCCAGACCCAGCAGCUAAAUUGGAAUAUGUUUCUGUAUUUUUCACUUUCUUAUUCCUUUUUUUCUCAUAAUUAAACAAUCUCUUUGAGAGCA